rnacentral:rRNA from 1 species
AAAUUGAAGAGUUUGAUCAUGGCUCAGAUUGAACGCUGGCGGCAGGCCUAACACAUGCAAGUCGAACGGUAACAGGAAGCAGCUUGCUGCUUCGCUGACGAGUGGCGGACGGGUGAGUAAUGUCUGGGAAACUGCCUGAUGGAGGGGGAUAACUACUGGAAACGGUGGCUAAUACCGCAUAACGUCGCAAGACCAAAGAGGGGGACCUUCGGGCCUCUUGCCAUCAGAUGUGCCCAGAUGGGAUUAGCUUGUUGGUGAGGUAACGGCUCACCAAGGCGACGAUCCCUAGCUGGUCUGAGAGGAUGACCAGCCACACUGGAACUGAGACACGGUCCAGACUCCUACGG